rnacentral:rRNA from 1 species
UAGUCCACGCCGUAAACGAUGAUAACUAGCUGUCCGAACCCACAGGGUUUGGGUGGCGCAGCUAACGCAUUAAGUUAUCCGCCUGGGGAGUACGGUCGCAAGAUUAAAACUCAAAGGAAUUGACGGGGGCCUGCACAAGCGGUGGAGCAUGUGGUUUAAUUCGACGCAACGCGCAGAACCUUACCAGCUUUUGACAUCCUGGUCGCGGAUUUGGGAGACCAUUUCCUUCAGUUCGGCUGGACCAGUGACAGGUGCUGCAUGGCUGUCGUCAGCUCGUGUCGUGAGGUGUUGGGUUAAGUCCCGCAACGAGCGCAACCCCUAUCUUUAGUUGCUAGCAGGUAAUGCUGAGGACUCUAGAGAGACUGCCGGCGUAAGCCGCGAGGAAGGUGGGGACGACGUCAAAUCAUCAUGGGCCUUUAUGCCUAGGGGCUACAUACGUGCUACAAUGGCAGGUACA